CAGUCGCCGCGGUAAUACGAAGGGUGCAAGCGUUACUCGGAAUUACUGGGCGUAAAGCGUGCGUAGGUGGUGGGUUAAGUCCGUUGUGAAAGCCCUGGGCUCAACCUGGGAAUUGCAGUGGAUACUGGGUCACUAGAGUGUGGUAGAGGAUAGUGGAAUUUCCGGUGUAGCAGUGAAAUGCGUAGAGAUCGGAAGGAACAUCUGUGGCGAAGGCGACUAUCUGGGCCAACACUGACACUGAGGCACGAAAGCGUGGAGGGCAAACAGGAUUAGAUACCCCAGUAGUCCCUGUCUCUUAUAC
rnacentral:rRNA from 1 species